CAGAUCAUAGCAUAUAUUAAUGCCUCUUACUUACAUUAAGAAGAAAACCUUGUUUGAUCUGA
rnacentral:tRNA from 1 species